GAGUUUGAUCUUGGCUCAGAUUGAACGCUGGCGGCAUGCCUUACACAUGCAAGUCGAACGGUAACGCGGGGCAACCUGGCGACGAGUGGCGAACGGGUGAGUAAUGUAUCGGAACGUGCCCAGUUGUGGGGGAUAACUGCUCGAAAGAGCAGCUAAUACCGCAUACGACCUGAGGGUGAAAGCGGGGGAUCGCAAGACCUCGCGCAAUUGGAGCGGCCGAUAUCAGAUUAGGUAGUUGGUGGGGUAAAGGCCUACCAAGCCGACGAUCUGUAGCUGGUCUGAGAGGACGACCAGCCACACUGGGACUGAGACACGGCCCAGACUCCUACGGGAGGCAGCAGUGGGGAAUUUUGGACAAUGGGGGCAACCCUGAUCCAGCCAUGCCGCGUGCGGGAUGAAGGCCUUCGGUUGUAAG
rnacentral:rRNA from 1 species